rnacentral:sRNA from 1 species
AGCCUUGGAGGAUGAAAGUGAGAUGGAGGAAGAAAGACGACUUUGCUAUGUUGGUAUUACCAGGGCAAAGGAGAGGCUUUAUUUAACCUGUGCAAGACA